CACACGUCUUCCGAAAAGUGAAUAUGGUAAAUGGUGCAAUGGCGGCAAUAAAGCAACAUUAUCAUCAUAAUUGUACUUGGUUCUAACAAUUUUCUAGUAAUAACGUUAAAAGAUAGAUAUACUAUGAUUAUAUGUUUGUAAAGGUCCAUAGAAAAUCCUGGCUGUAACUUCAGCUUGUUAAAAAACAUUACCCAAAAAAAAAAAUGGUUAAUCAUUUUUUUAUUAUUUUUCUGUCACCUCUCACCAUAUACAGCAACAUGAAUGUAUUCGUAUACAGCAAUAGAAACCAACAUCUGUCGCCAUCCCCCCUUAAGACCAAAGGCAUUAUUUAUAUACAAUAUUUCUAGUAGGGGCGCUCGUCGUCCUGGUAAGAAGGAUCGUAGUUGCAAAUGACAUAGUUUUGUCCAUUCUUGCACUUUGAAAUGCCACAUCCAACAUAAGUAGUUUUGCCCCAUAUCACACCAAGGUAGUGGCCACAUUCAUCUCGGACACAUUUGUUUUGCUGGUAGUCAUAGAAUUCCUUCUCGGUGACCCAGUAUUUGGUAGCGGCUGCACCGGUCAUGCCAUCACCGGAGGCCAAGUUCUCGCCGUAAGGCCCCAUUGAGUGCUCCAUUUGGCAGUCCUCGAUUCUUUUGUCGGCAUAAGCUUGAGCGUACUCGGCUAUGGUCUCGUUCCAUUUGAGCGGUCCAUUGCCAACCUCGGCACGAGCUAUGUUGUGUUCCUUGAUGAAGCCAUCGAUCUCUUCUUUGGGUAGGAUUGCGGCGACAUGCGUCAUGAUGAUUGCAAUGGUGAAGAUGCCCAAAAUAAGCUUGACGUUGAACGCCAUUUUGUAUCUCGAUAUGGGGUCGGUUUUGUUGUAUGGUAGAGGACGUUGAAUUGAUAGCUGUUGGUUU
rnacentral:sRNA from 1 species